rnacentral:miRNA from 1 species
UAUAUGUGUGUGUGUGUGUAUGUGUGUGUGUGUUAUAUACACACACACAUACAUACACACACACAUAUAUA